rnacentral:rRNA from 1 species
UGGGGAAUAUUGCACAAUGGGCGCAAGCCUGAUGCAGCCAUGCCGCGUGUAUGAAGAAGGCCUUCGGGUUGUAAAGUACUUUCAGUCGGGAGGAAGGUGGUAAGGUUAAUAACCUUGGCAAUUGACGUUACCGACAGAAGAAGCACCGGCUAACUCCGUGCCAGCAGCCGCGGUAAUACGGAGGGUGCAAGCGUUAAUCGGAAUUACUGGGCGUAAAGCGCACGCAGGCGGUUGAUUGAGUCAGAUGUGAAAUCCCCGGGCUUAACCCGGGAAUUGCAUCUGAUACUGGUCAGCUAGAGUCUUGUAGAGGGGGGUAGAAUUCCAUGUGUAGCGGUGAAAUGCGUAGAGAUGUGGUGGAAUACCGGUGGCGAAGGCGGCCCCCUGGACAAAGACUGACGCUCAGGUGCGAAAGCGUGGGGAGCAAACAGG